CAUUUUCAUUCAUUCCCCAGCCUGCAUGCAAUUAAGGAUGAGAUGUUCCUCAGACAAUCAUUGCGUCAGGCAGCCAAAUUUAAACAAGCAUCUUUUACUGAGAGGACUCCUUCUCCCAUACACAUUCAGACCCCUACAUUUAAAAAAAAGUCAUUUUUGACUGGUUUAUACAUGCAAUAUUCACCUCUGACAUAACACGUCAACCAGUCAUAGAAGCAAUUGAAGAAGAGAGCAGUGAUGUCAAACUUCCAGUUACAAUUGAAAUUCCUAGUGCAUUUGAGGGUGAGUCUGCAGAUGAGGAAGAAGUUGAGGAAUCUGCACCGGCACCAUCACCCCUUUCCUCUGUACCUUGAUAGUGUUGCUGAAACAACCUGCUGGGAGAAGGAAAAAGGAAGAUGAAAUUCAUUGCAGCAUCUUCUUAGGCAGCUCGCCUACCUGGAAAGGAUGCAUGCUUUCACCAAGGAUGCCCUGAAAGCCAUCCCUCUUGUCCCUUGCAUGUUUCUGGUCAUGCUUCUCAGUUAUGAAGCCUGGGAGAUCAGUAGUUCUUAUGCUAUACGCUUGCUUAUAGGCUUGUCCAUCCCCACUAGAAAAC
rnacentral:lncRNA from 11 species